CCUACGGGUGGCAGCAGUGGGGAAUAUUGGACAAUGGGCGAAAGCCUGAUCCAGCCAUGCCGCGUGUGUGAAGAAGGCCUUCGGGUUGUAAAGCACUUUCAGUGGGGAAGAAAGCCUUGGGGCUAAUACCCUCGAGGAAGGACAUCACCCACAGAAGAAGCACCGGCUAACUCCGUGCCAGCAGCCGCGGUAAUACGGAGGGUGCGAGCGUUAAUCGGAAUUACUGGGCGUAAAGCGCGCGUAGGCGGUCUGAUAAGCCGGUUGUGAAAGCCCCGGGCUCAACCUGGGAACGGCAUCCGGAACUGUCAGGCUAGAGUGCAGGAGAGGAAGGUAGAAUUCCCGGUGUAGCGGUGAAAUGCGUAGAGAUCGGGAGGAAUACCAGUGGCGAAGGCGGCCUUCUGGACUGACACUGACGCUGAGGUUCGAAAGCGUGGGUAGCAAACAGGAUUAGAUACCCGGGUAGUC
rnacentral:rRNA from 1 species